rnacentral:rRNA from 1 species
AUUGAACGCUGGCGGCAGGCCUAACACAUGCAAGUCGAGCGGGGUUUUCGGACCUAGCGGCGGACGGGUGAGUAAUGCGUAGGAAGCUGCCCGAUAGAGGGGGAUACCAGUUGGAAACGACUGUUAAUACCGCAUAAUGUCUACGGACCAAAGUGUGGGACCUUCGGGCCACAUGCUAUCGGAUGCGCCUACGUGGGAUUAGCUAGUUGGUGAGGUAAUGGCUCACCAAGGCGACGAUCUCUAGCUGGUUUGAGAGGAUGAUCAGCCACACUGGAACUGAGACACGGCCCAGACUCCUACGGGAGGCAGCAGUGGGGAAUAUUGGACAAUGGGCGCAAGCCUGAUCCAGCCAUGCCGCGUGUGUGAAGAAGGCCUUCGGGUUGUAAAGCACUUUCAGCGAGGAGGAAGGGAUGUAUGUAAAUAGCAUGCAUUUUUGACGUUACUCGCAGAAGAAGCACCGGCUAACUCUGUGCCAGCAGCCGCGGUAAUAC